GCCUAUGUAGUGUAGCGGUCAGCACGAUGGGUACGUAUUCUAGAGAUCCGUGGUUCGAGUCCCGGCGAGGGCA
rnacentral:tRNA from 1 species